GACCUAACCAGGUGGCUAAAGCGCCUCCGGAAUCGGUGAUCGGUGGUACUCCAACUGCAACGAUCCUCAGACAAUAAUGCAAAGUCAAAGGAUGGGCAAUUGCCCGUUAUCCGAUCGAACAUGUGAUGUAUUGACGUGGUUGGAAUAACAAGGGCGGGGAUACCAUGUCAAAGUCUCGAUCUCGAUAUAUUUCCACCCCUCAAAGCUCAGUAUGUACUAUGUACUCGGUAUUGAAAUUAUGUGGACGGGGAUGCUGAACGGGAACGGAUGGAACCCGCUUUGUGUGGUGAUGCUUCAACGAGUUUAUGUAUAGCUUAACACACAUCUAUACAUCUAUAGACUUCUCCCCCAGUAGAUUGUACAUCAUUCUCCAAACAGAAAUGGCAAAUGGAGAAUCAUAUAGCAAACGUCGGUAUGGGAAUUGGCGCAAGAGUAGCGUUUAUUCAUAACCUAAAAGGAGCGAUAAAACUACUGUCUCUGACAGGACACAAGGAUUCUUGGCUGGCAGUAUGCAUAUUUUCUUCCUAUCCUCUCAUACUCUUAUUCCUGUUUUACUACCCUUGUCCUGGAAAAAUGACAGUUAAUAAAUCGUCAGGAGAUAAAUAAAGAAUAUCUAAGCAAGUAAGGAAUAUUUUCUGUGCUAUAGACCAAAAAUUCAUGAGUUCUGGAAGAAACACAAAGGAUGAAGGUUUUUU